UGUAGAACGGGACAAGUGGUGUUUGGAAAAUUGUCAACGUUAAAUAUAUAAAACCGAUAGCAUUAGCACAUUAGAAGGCCAGCAGCCAGCGGAGAAGGCCUUGGCCCACGCACUGGCAUGUGUAAAAAACAAUGCAAACAAAAAAAGGAAAAAAUUAAUGUAAUAAAACAAAAAUUAAAAAUGUUAUUUAACAUUUAAAUAACUUCUUUACGUUUUUUGGGAGAUUUUUCUGGAUUUACAGGAUUCCUGGGGACUGGUGCUGAAGAGUAAUAAACUUCCACCGCCACAUAGAAAACAAAUUCCCAAGAAGAAAAAACGUACCCAGCUGACUGCGAUGGAGUCUGGAGCCCAUCCUGCGAGGGAACUACAAAGGGAUAACACCAAGAAGACAGCAAAGACGAAACACCAAGGCGCUGAUGACACCAAGAUGCAGAUACUUUUUUUUAAUAUACUUUAAAGGGGUCGUCUACCCUCGCGCUCAAAUUUUGGGCCUCUUAU